rnacentral:misc_RNA from 1 species
GAAUAAUCCAAUGGGUGUUAUCGCAUUAAUAUUAGAGUUAUCAGAUGUUGAAUUCGAAUUAAGAAAUCUAAAAAACAAAGAGAAUAAAUUUUGAAUCUUUACAUAUUAAGUAAGCAGGUCUCAAGUCUAAAUCAAGGAAAAACAAGAAGAAUUUUUAACAUCAUACGGACUGCAGAGUACAAUACAAAAUCCACGGCCAUUCAACUAAAUUAAAGACCUACCACUCAUAACUCUAAAUUCUUGAUGCUUCUUCACUUAGUCACAUAUUCCAAAGAUAAAGAACCAUCUGCUUUCUCCAAGUGAAGUAAAAAGCUGUCUUCUUCGCUUAUUAAAAAUGGUAAAGACCAUCUGCUUCUUAAAGCCCAGUACCGUCUGUAACUUUGAGACUUUCCUCAAAGAUCAUCUACUCUUUCCUCUCUUGCCGUUGGAGGAAUACCAAGUCCGGUCCUCACUUUAGUUCCCAUUUCCAGAAGGUCCUCCACCUUGUGGAUGCCGGAGGCUUGAAGGGCAGCAACGGAGGCAGAAGCAGCGGAGCUGACAAAGAGAGAGGCGACCGCGAAGGCUUUGAAAGGCAUUAGACGAGAGUCGCCGGCGUAGCCUUUCCGAUAUGAUGACAUACCCCACACAAAUUGCGUACAACUGGCCAAGCCCCACCAGGACCAGCCCGGAAUCCCAUGGCGGCCGUUCCCGUUCUCGUCCAUUUUGGUCAUCGAGAGGGAGCCAUCUAAUGGGUCUUUAUUUUCGAGAUUGCUGAAUAUAGAUGCAAUUAUUGCCGGCCCGACCCAAUUUAUCCUGAAUCUGAGUAAUUUUCUUUGGUAUCGUCUCGCUUCCAAAUAUUGCACCGGCGGAGGAAAAAAAAAGAAAGUUUACUGUGCCUAAUUUUCAAAAUCGAUCUUAAUAAUAAUAUAUACUUAGAUAUUAUAAUUUUAAUAUAUUAUUAAACUUAUAUUUUUAACUUAUAAUUUUUA